rnacentral:lncRNA from 1 species
AUUCAUUGUCGGGCUUGGAGGCUAGCCAGAUGCCGGAGGCGAUGACGGGUAUGGAGCAGAGAAAGGCUAUGAAGUUGAGAACUGCUGUUAGGUUGUUGGCGACGGCCAUUGAUGGCGGUUGGAGUGGAAAGUGAGAGAGAGAGAGAGAGAGAGAGAGAGAGAGAGAGAGAGAGAGUUGAUGGCUGUGGUGUUGGGUGUCUCAAGAUUGGGGUUUUUGGAGUUUUGUAUGUAUGAGAUGGCGCAAACACGGAAUACCAGACUCUG